GAUGAACGCUAGCGGGAGGCCUAACACAUGCAAGCCGAGCGGUAGAGUUUCUUCGGAAACUUGAGAGCGGCGCACGGGUGCGUAACACGUGUGCAACCUACCUUUAUCUGGGGGAUAGCCUUUCGAAAGGAAGAUUAAUACCCCAUAAUAUAAUGAUUGGCAUCAAUUAUUAUUGAAAACUCCGGUGGAUAGAGAUGGGCACGCGCAAGAUUAGAUAGUUGGUGAGGUAACGGCUCACCAAGUCAAUGAUCUUUAGGGGUCCUGAGAGGGAGAUCCCCCACACUGGUACUGAGACACGGACCAGACUCAUACGGGAGGCAGCAGUGAGGAAUAUUGGACAAUGGGUGAGAGCCUGAUCCAGCCAUCCCGCGUGAAGGAUGACGGUCCUAUGGAUUGUAAACUUCUUUUGUACAGGGAUAAACCUACCCUCGUGAGGGUAGCUGAAGGUACUGUACGAAUAAGCACCGGCUAACUCCGUG
rnacentral:rRNA from 1 species